UACGGAAGGCAGCAGUGGGGAAUAUUGCACAAUGGGCGAAAGCCUGAUGCAGCUAUGCCGCGUGUAUGAAGAAGGCCUUAGGGUUGUAAAGUACUUUCAUCGGGGAGGAAAAAACAAAACUAAUAAUUUUAUUUCUUGACGUUACCCGAAAAAGAAGCACCGGCUAACUCCGUGCCAGCAGCCGCGGUAAUACGGAGGGUGCUAGCGUUAAUCAGAAUUACUGGGCGUAAAGAGCACGUAGGUGGUUUUUUUAAGUCAGAUGUGAAAUCCCUGGGCUUAACUUAGGAACUGCAUUUUGAAACUGAAAUACUAGAGUAUCGUAGAGGGAGGUAGAAUUCUAGGUGUAGCGGUGAAAUGCGUAGAUAUCUGGAGGAAUACCUGUGGCGAAAGCGGCCUCCUAAACGAAUACUGACACUGAGGUGCGAAAGCGUGGGGAGCAAACAGGGAUUAGAUACC
rnacentral:rRNA from 1 species